GAGGGUAUAGCUCAAUGACAGAGUGCAUGCCUAGCAUGCAAUGAACUCCUGGAUCCAAUUCCCAGUACCUCCA
rnacentral:tRNA from 1 species